AACUAGACAACGAAGAAUGGAGACACACUGGGGAGUUCUGCUGGGGCCUCUGUGGCUCCAGGUUUACUUGGUGAGAGGGAUGAAUGUGGAGCAGAGCCCUUCAGACCUGAGCCUCCAGGAGGGAGCCAGCUCUACCCUGAAGUGCAAUUUUUCUAGCUUUGUGAACAGUGUGCAGUGGUUCCGACAGCAUCCCGGGGGCGGCGGUCUCACCCGGCUGUUUUACAUAGCUUCAGGGAUGAAGCAGAGUGGGAGGUUAAACUGCACAGUGAAUACUAAGGAACGGUCCAGCACCCUCCACAUCGGGGCCUCCCAACUGGAAGACUCAGCCACCUACCUGUGUGCGGGGGAGGCACAGUGCUCCCCUGUGAUCUGCAGCCUGCACCCAAACUGCAGCUGGGCCUGCAGCCCUGGCUUCUCCCUGGGGCAGGCAUUUGCUCCCACAGCAGCCUUUGCACAUUUUUAG